rnacentral:lncRNA from 1 species
ACGAGCCUAAACUGCACGAACCAAAGCUCAUUGUCCGCACGAGCCUAAACUGUAGGACACGAGGCUCCUCGCCUGCACGAGCCUAAACUACAUGGCACAACGCUCCCGAUCCGCAAGAGCAUAAAAGGCGACAUCAACGCUCCUGAUCCGCACGAGCAUAAAAGGCAACACCAAAUGCUCCUUGUCUGCACGAGUUGAAACUGCAUACGACACCAAAAGCUCCUUGUCUGCACGAGUUGAAACUGCAAACGACACCAAAUGCUCCUUGUCUGCACGAGUUGAAACUGCAAACGACACCAAAUGCUCUUUGUCUGCACGAGUUGAAACUGCAAACGAC